rnacentral:lncRNA from 1 species
UAAUUCAAACAUAGUUUCCUAUACCAACAAAACCCUUUAUAUAGAUCAUAACCAACAACAGCAAAAGGUUGGUCUGAAGUAAUGAGGUAAUUAACUUGUUCCCCUUCCUCUUUGGCUGCCCAAAACUGUACCAUACAAUCAAUCGGAAAAAAACAGUCUGACAUAAUUUCCUGGAGAACUCGUGUGAUUAUCUGAUUGAUUUCACUUUCAGAUUCCCUCCAAAAAACCCAUCCAAAUUUUUCAUGAAACGUACUCGGAGUUGAUGACAAAUCGUCGGCGGCGUUCAAGUAGUGUUUGAAUUCAGAC